CGUCAUCCUACACAUCUCUGACUGCCAGCCAUGUACCUACACCUGCUAUUUCUUUGUCUUGCAUCAGUCUGGUUGGUAUCUGCUGAUGAAGAAUGGUGCAGUCCUACAAAAUAUCGUACAACUUAUGAUGCACUUUUGGAAGAGCUUGGCUUGUUGAAUAAUAGCAAUGCAGUUUACCGCAUGCAGCCUCUGACUUUAAGUGAUAAAGCCAUUUAUGUUUAUGUGUACUUGUUUGUGAACGCCAUCAAAGAUGUGGAUGAAAAUGCCCAGACCCUGUCAACACAAUUAGAAGUUGUCACU